UACGGAGGGUGCGAGCGUUGUCCGGAAUCAUUGGGCGUAAAGCGCACGUAGGCGGCUUCGCAAGUCGGAUGUGAAAUCCCUCGGCUCAACCGAGGACGUGCAUACGAAACUGCGAAGCUUGAGUACUGAAGAGGAUCGCGGAAUUCCCGGUGUAGAGGUGAAAUUCGUAGAUAUCGGGAGGAACACCAGUGGCGAAGGCGGCGAUCUGGGCAGAUACUGACGCUGAGGUGCGAAAGCGUGGGGAGCAAACAGG
rnacentral:rRNA from 1 species